GAUGAACGCUGGCGGCGUGCCUAAUACAUGCAAGUAGAACGCUGAAGGAAGGAGCUUGCUCUUUCCGGAUGAGUUGCGAACGGGUGAGUAACGCGUAGGUAACCUGCCUGGUAGCGGGGGAUAACUAUUGGAAACGAUAGCUAAUACCGCAUAACAGUAGAUAUUGCAUGAUAUCUGCUUGAAAGGGGCAAUUGCUCCACUACCAGAUGGACCUGCGUUGUAUUAGCUAGUUGGUGAGGUAACGGCUCACCAAGGCGACGAUACAUAGCCGACCUGAGAGGGUGAUCGGCCACACUGGGACUGAGACACGGCCCAGACUCCUACGGGAGGCAGCAGUAGGGAAUCUUCGGCAAUGGACGGAAGUCUGACCGAGCAACGCCGCGUGAGUGAAGAAGGUUUUCGGAUCGUAAAGCUCGGUUGUAAGAGAAGAACGAGUGUGAGAGUGGAAAGUUCACACUGUGACGGUAUCUUACCAGAAAGGGACGGCUAACUACGUG
rnacentral:rRNA from 1 species